UUCGUGGACCUGGUGGAGAAGGUGAGGGGCACCCCAAAAACCACACCCCCAAAUUGGAACCCAGAACCCCCCCGGGGACCCCCCUGGAGUGGGACCCCCCCAGAUCCAGGUGGGUUUUUGGGGUCCCCCCAGGUGAUCGAGCCGUGCCGCUCCGACAAGUGGAGCCCGGGGGACCUGAGGCUCUUCCUGACGCACUACACGGCAGCACCCCGAAACCUGCCGGGGUUCAGGCACCAAGCGCUGUGGGAGCGCUACAUGGCCGCCAUCAGCGCCUGCCUGCUGCGCAUGUACCACGACUGACCCCAAACUGUACCCCAAAAAGGGACCCCAAAAAGGACAGGAAAUGUGAAAACCCAACGGGCCGAGGAUGGAGCAUCAGCACCCCAAAAUUUGGGUGUUUGGGGAACCUGCAGGAAAGGACCCCAAGCACCAGGACACCCCAAACCUGGGACACCCCAAAUCUCAAGGAGCAGCAGCGGCAGUGCCCCAAAAAUUGGGACAUUGGGAACAGGGAGACACCAAAAAAGAGGGGACCCCCAAAUUUGGGACUCCCCAAACCAGGGGUGCCCCUCCCGUGUGACCCCAAAAAUUGGGGUGGGGGUGCAAUAAAGAGCCGGAAUCGAGGCUGA
rnacentral:lncRNA from 1 species